rnacentral:rRNA from 1 species
ACCAGACUCCUACGGGAGGCAGCAGUGGGGAAUAUUGCACAAUGGGGGAAACCCUGAUGCAGCGACGCCGCGUGUGGGAAGACGGUCCUCUGGAUUGUAAACCACUGUCCCCAGGGACGAAAAUGACGGUACCUGGGGAGGAAGCUCCGGCUAACUACGUGCCAGCAGCCGCGGUAAUACGGAGGAUGCGAGCGUUAUCCGGAUUUAUUGGGUUUAAAGGGUGCGUAGGCGGUAUUUUAAGUUAGUGGUAAAACGUCGGGGCUUCACCUUGAUUGGCCAUUAAAACUGGAGUACUAGAGUACAGACGAGGUAGGCGGAAUAAGUUAAGUAGCGGUGAAAUGCUUAGAUAUAACUUAGAACCCCGAUAGCGAAGGCAGCUUACCAGACUGUUACUGACGCUGAAGCACGAGAGCGUGGGUAGCGAACAGGAUUAGAUACCCCUGUAGU